CCGCCGCGCCCGCGGGCAGAGCAGGAGCACCGGCGGCCCGGGCACUCUUCUCCCCCUUGGAGAUCCGGCAUCAAAACCAGCCCUCGACCCACCGCCCGCUCCACGCGCGGAUGAGGGACGGUGCUGAACGGGGUCCCGUCUGCUGGGGCUUGGCCCCUCGGGGAUGGGGUUCCCGGGGCAGGCCGUGCCGGAGGGGCACCCUGCCUGGCUGUCAUUCGGGGGGGGGGGGGGGGGGGAAUCCCCCACGGCCCCUGCCGAGCUGGUCACGGAGCAUCUCCGGCGUACAGCCCCCUCUGCGGCCCCGGGGCCCCGACGGGGCGGGGGCCGCCCGGCUGCACACACCACCCCGCGACCAUCGUUUGCGGUGGGGAGGGUGUCCCCCCACCGUGUAGUGCUCUCCCAGCGCCCCGCUGACCCCAGAUGCCAAGAGGGGUGACAGUCGCGACACCUCCAUAGGAGACACCUCCGACCCCCUUUCCUGCCGGCCGGUGACCCUCGGUGGGCGCAGAGAGCCCCGGGCAGCGCUAAGUGGGCGGGGCCCGGCUGAGCAGCGGUUUUCCCCCGUGGCACCCACCCGUGCCCGCCCCGCACUGGGCUCCCGGGGCUGCAUGGGAGACCCACGGCUGGGGCGGACUCGGUACCGGCGGGCAGGCAAGUUAAGGUCUCUUAAGGCCAGAAGAGACCAUUAAAUCAUCUGCCUGACCUCCCGCAUUACAGGGCCGUAUAAUCUCAUCCAGUUCCUAAGGCAUUAAGACCAAUAAUUUGUGUUUGAGUAAAAUAUGCCUUCGAGAAAGGUCCCUGGCCCCGAGGCUUUCAAGAAAUGGCGAUUUUGCUCUUGUCCUGGAGAGUUUGUUGUGGCAGUUAACCCCUGAUUAAGGGAUGAGCCUCAUUUCCAUGACAAGUUGCCCUUGCCUAAAUUACUCCGAAUUGCCAGGCUUGUAUUUUGGAACCUACAAGUGCCGUUGGUGCGUGGUGGCCACCUCAGCUUUCUCCUUCCUUUCACCCAGGUGUUGUGCCUGGCGUAGCACAGACAAGGGCCUGGCUCUUCCUUGGGGCUCCUGAGGCAUUUGGCAUCUGACUUCUAGCUCCCCCCUGGCUUGGAGAACGUAGCAAGGAAGAGCCCCAGCACCUCAAGCUGGGUAGGCUGAUGGGACAUACCACUGAAAUCCAGUGCUCAAAGGGCCCAGUCCUGCCUUACUGUGGAAUGACGGGCCAACACGUCUUUCUAACCAAACCAGCACCCAACGGGAGAAGGGUGAGGUGAAUGCUGUUGGCAGGCACACCACAGCAGGAGGAAGCCAACCCCACUUCAGAGAAACAGCCCCUCACCUGCUUGUGCCGGCCUGAGGCUUCUAAUGUGAGGAAAAACACGCGGUGACAAGUGUGGAAAAGAGCAAGCACUAAAUUACUGUCAGAAAAAUAAACGGCGGAGCGCGGUGCUGCGCGGUGAUUUACGGGGGCAAUUAGCCAUCGCCCCCCGGAGCCGCCGAGGACGGCGGGGCCGCCGCAGCAUCCCCCGGGGCUGGCCCGGCUCCCGCCCCCGGCCCGGGCACCCGGAGCUCGCCUCCAUCCCGCGGCUCCUUUUUUAUUUUUUUUUUUUUGCCCACCCCAAAACGGGGGAUGCGGGAGGAGAGGGGAGCUGCCCCAAAAGCCGGAGCCUGUGUUCACGGGGAAGGUGCAAGUGCGGUGGCUCUGCUCUUUCGUUGUGGUGAGCGGCUGGUGCCCAGGUGUGCGGGGGUGAUUAAGGAGGCGAGGAAGUAAAGUUAAAUGAAAAAUAUUCUUGGAGAAGGGAAGCUGGAAAGCAGGGGUGGAAAAGUUGCUGGGGCUGGGUGGGAGGGUGGAGGUGGCCCUGCACGUCUGCUGGAGGUGGCAUGGGCCGUUGAGUGGCAGCCCUGCUGCUAGCUGGGGCUGGAUGUUGAACAAAUCUUAAUGCUGUUGUUUCACCAAGGUGGAGUCCAGGAGAGGUGUUUUAGUUUGAAGCUAGCAGCAAAGAAAGUAUAGACAGUUCAAGCUCCAGUUCAGCCUGGGACCAUGACAGCGAGCCCCCCGCCAGCGUGUUGUGGGAUUUCUUAGGGGGCAGCUGGAAGGACCAUCAAGUCCCUGGUCUUUGACCUGGACCAUGUGCCUGGGAAGGGGACCUGGGCCUGAGAGAUGCCAGAAUCCCAUUUCUGUCUUUAGGGACAGCAGUGAUGCUGCUUUGCCUCAACUCAUGUUAGUGGAUCCACUUCAAGCUCAUAGUGGUUUUGUAACUUUGUGCCACCCUGUCUGCCAUCCCUGACCUAGCGAGCCUUACUUAAUGCCCGUACAUCUAUUUUCAUUUUCUAAGGCCGUAUUCGUCACCUAGAAUUUGUGUCCAUCCCCUGAGCAGUGUUUGGCUCCUGCAGGAGGCAGCAGUAACUGACUUUGGAUGCACGUUCCCAUUAGACCUGCCAGCCCGGCGUCUGGCUCCUCCAAAUAGUUGGCUCUUGGAUCAUGGGAGACAGCCUGUCCGAGCUCACUGCAACAGCUGGUGCCAGCCAGCUCCUCGAGGACUGGUGCCAGCAGCAGGAGGAGUGUGCCAGGGCCUGCUCAUCAAACAGACCGGCAGCCUUCCCAUGGCUGCCACCGAGGGACAAAGGGAAAAGCAGCAGAGCAAGGCCCUCUCAACGUGGCACCUCGUGGGAAAGGCAGGCGUGUGCCUUUCGAAAGGGGAUGCAAGCUGGAGGAUGAAGAGCUGCUGCAGGUCCUGGUGACCUCGGUAAGUGGCCUUCCCUCUCUGCUGCCGUUUCCCAGCUGGUGGGAAGCAUGUGAUACUCACCGGCCUCUGGGAAGCACUCGAGACUUAUGAAUGAAAAGCAGAUCACAGCGGUGAAGCAGCAGUGUUUACUUUGGGGUCUGCCCUUGGCUGCUUCCUCGCUUUCUAGAAGUGGUUCUCGCGGGGACAUGGGUGCAUGCUCACACGAGGUGGUCCUGGUGUUUGUCUUCCCUCACAUGGCAGAGCUCUGCUUCUCCUGAAGGUUGCUUGGCUGCCUUCUAUUAAGUGAUGUGACCAGCAUCUCUCUCGUGUAAUUCUCUUCCUCCCACUGG